rnacentral:misc_RNA from 1 species
GAAAUGCGAUAAGUAAUGUGAAUUGCAGAAUUCAGUGAAUCAUCGAAUCUUUGAACGCACAUUGCGCCCGCCAGAAUACUGGCGGGCGCAAUGUGCGUUCAAAGAUUCGAUGAUUCACUGAAUUCUGCAAUUCACAUUACUUAUCGCAUUUUGCUGCGUUCUUCAUCGAUGCUUACGUGCACUU